AUCAGUUACCAGCCAGCCAUUCCCCUUAGCCACAAAGGACACAUAUCAAGUUCCCUGUGCCAUCUGCUGAAUCUCCUGUCUCUUGAUUUCCGAAGAAGAAAGAAAUACCUAACCACCCACUAAAAGGAGAAGGUAAGACUUAGCAAAGCUCUCCCCAAAGAAAUUUCUGAAAAUAUUGAAGUCAUCUCCACUCUCCACCCUUUGAUGACCUUUGUGUGGGUGAGCAGUUCCAGAAUCAUGUAGCCGGUCCCUUGCCUGCUGCUUGGAACACUGCACACAGGAACUAUGUGUGCUCUCAGAGUGCAGCGGCAGACGUGUGUCUGUGCCUUGGCAGAAGUUUCAGUUCUAACAUUCUGCUGUACAUGUGAGCUUUGCCAUCGCAAAUCCUGUGAAGGUUGGAAAUUGUUGCAGUGUAUUCAACGUUUUCUCAGAAUUCAAAAUGGAAGAGAUGAUCCUGGGAUAAUCAUAGUAUUUCUUUCUGGCAAUAUCUCCCGGAGUUACUCUUCCAAACCUCCUAUGCCUCUGGGUCGCAGCUCAAUGCAAAGCCAAAUGCAAGCCAGUGGUAUUAGCCGCUAUCGCCUGGAGCAAGGACAUUAUGGUUUUGUCCGGAAUGCCCUGCAAAGACCUGUGUAUUAACGUCUUGAUCACCAGCCUGUGGCACUAUUGGAAGGUAUAGGAACUUCAAGAGCUGGAGAGAUCAAGAUACUACAACUUGUGUUUAGAAGAAGACCUUCCUCCUGUCAUAUACACUCUAAAUUGGAGACCUCACGAUGUUGCAGACGCCAGAGUCAUGGAUUCCUGCCAAGGAAAGCUGCAGACUGGGUGUGGAACCCGCCCAAGAGAGAGAAGUGUGUCACAGUCAACAAAGCAGAAAGGAGCUGGG